rnacentral:rRNA from 1 species
AUGGAGGAGGACCCGCCCGCGUUCGAGCAGCUGCUGGGCCAGGGGUGGGGCUGGUCCUGCACUGCGCUGGAGAUGGCCACCGGCGUGGGCGUGAACUGGUGCCCCACUCCGCCGCGGUCACCGGAGCGGGAGGCGUCGCCGCGGGAGGAGGUGGUGCAGGCACCUCCGGCCGUCCAGCCCGCCCCUGUCUACCACGCACCGCCGCCCCACCUCUGGACGCCGUCGGACUACGUCGACCUCGUCAGCGACGACGACGACACCGGCGGCCAUUUUUUUAUUCCCGUCCACCCCGGACACGAUUUGGGGUGCGGCCGCGCGGUGGGCGCACGCACGACCCAAUGGACACAGUCGGACACGUGCGAACCCAUCGGCGCCCCAAAGGGACAAAUUCCGGCCAAUCUGGACGUCCGUUUGGGGUCGCGCGGUAGAGUUGGCCUAAAGGAGGUGCUGCAAUCUUUUGAUAGUUUUAGGGUAGAGUGGAUCAGGCGGCCUGCUAAUGUUGCCACGCAUAAGUUAGCUAAAGUAGGUGUUGGUGAUAAUCUUUGCAGGCAGGGAAAAAGUUGGCAGAAUCCAAUCGUUCCAGCAUAUGCCAUGCUCGUGAUCAUGAGUUUUGCGUCCGACCUUGAUGGCCGCUCCACAGCCACCAGUUUCGUUUCCAUGGAAAUUCCUUCAAGAGGCCACUGGAUUGCUCUAGGACCUCGGCCUGCCUGA